rnacentral:rRNA from 1 species
CCUACGGGCUGCAGCAGUGAGGAAUAUUGGUCAAUGGGCGGGAGCCUGAACCAGCCAAGCCGCGUGAGGGAAGAAGGUACAGCGUAUCGUAAACCUCUUUUGUCAGGGAACAAAAGCGGAGACUAGUCCCCGGAUGAGGGUACCUGAAGAAAAAGCAUCGGAUAACGCGGAGCCAGCAGCCGCGGUAAUACGGAGGAUGCGAGCGUUGUCCGGAUGGCGUGGGUUGAACGGGGGCGCAGGGGGCCUGUUAAGUCAGCGGUGAAAGCCCGGGGCACACACCCGGCGAGCUGUUGAAGCUGGCGGGGUGGAGUGGGAGAGGAGGACGCGGGAUGCGUGGUGUAGCGGUGGAAUGCGGAGAUAUCGCGCAGAACCCCGAUGGCGAAGGCAGCGUACCGGCGCCACACUGACGCUGAGGCACGAAAGCGUGGGUAUCGAACAGGAUUAGAUACCCCAGUAGUC